rnacentral:rRNA from 1 species
AUUGAACGCUGGCGGCAUGCUUUACACAUGCAAGUCGGACGGCAGCACAGAGAAGCUUGCUUCUUGGGUGGCGAGUGGCGAACGGGUGAGUAACAUAUCGGAACGUACCGAGCAGUGGGGGAUAACUAAUCGAAAGAUUAGCUAAUACCGCAUAUCUUCUGAGGAAGAAAGCAGGGGACCAUUUGGCCUUGCGCUGUUUGAGCGGCCGAUAUCUGAUUAGCUAGUUGGUGGGGUAAAGGCCUACCAAGGCGACGAUCAGUAGCGGGUCUGAGAGGAUGAUCCGCCACACUGGGACUGAGACACGGCCCAGACUCCUACGGGAGGCAGCAGUGGGGAAUUUUGGACAAUGGGCGCAAGCCUGAUCCAGCCAUGCCGCGUGUCUGAAGAAGGCCUUCGGGUUGUAAAGGACUUUUGUCAGGGAAGAAAAGGGCGAGGUUAAUACCCC